UACGGAGGGAGCUAGCGUUGUUCGGAAUUACUGGGCGUAAGGCGCACGUAGGCGGCUUUGUAAGUUAGAGGUGAAAGCCCGGAGCUCAACUCCGGAAUUGCCUUUAAGACUGCAUCGCUUGAAUCCAGGAGAGGUGAGUGGAAUUCCGAGUGUAGAGGUGAAAUUCGUAGAUAUUCGGAAGAACACCAGUGGCGAAGGCGGCUCACUGGACUGGUAUUGACGCUGAGGUGCGAAAGCGUGGGGAGCAAACAGG
rnacentral:rRNA from 1 species